CCAUUUGUAGCGCGAGAAAGGAUCUGAUAGAGGACCUCAAGCAUAGCGAGUUCUUUUUGUUGCUUUCCUCCUCUCUGUUACUGGAAAUACGUGCUACAGGAAGCAAGCAGCCAUCACUGAGUGUGCUCUAACUCCUGUUUUACAAAGGGAGAAGAUGGAGUUCAUCAGUAUGUUACUUUUCUUGCUACAAGUUUCAAGUGCAGCAAGACGACGCAUUCAAGUGACUGGUGAGGCUGGAGGAUCCAUCACCAUAAAGUGUCCUGUGAAGGGCAUUUCCAGUCGAAAAUUCUGGUGCAGGGAGCUCGAGACAGGGAUCUGUGGCACCAUCAUCUCCACCUCACCAUACAUCAGUGAGAAUUACAGGAAUAGAAUCUCCAUCACUGAGGAGCCUCAGGAAGGAAUAUUUCAAAUUACAAUCACAGGACUGGAAGAGGAUGACACUGGGCUGUACACGUGUGGGACAGGAUAUCUAAAUGACAGAGGCAGUGGAAGGACCCUCCAAGUGGAGCUGAAUGUUUCUAACGGGAAUGUUCCACCCAGAACGGGCAUGUUGUCUGCUGAACCUCUGAGACGUGACAGACCUAUUGUGGUACCAGCAGAGUCUGGCAACAAAGGUGCUGACGCUCAAGGAGUCACACAACCACAGAUGAUUAAUGGAGCAUGGGCAAAAUAUACCUCCUAUGCUGUGCCUGGCAUCAAAUUCCCCCAAAGUAUGAUAAUCACACCUGCAGACAUAAUUGGCAGCACUGUUACCAAUGCAGUGUCUGGAAGUACAACAAAGGGGAUUCCAAAGAAUUCCAGGACAAUCAGCUAUGCACAUCCCAGGCAUACAAAGCGACUCUUGAGAAGCAAUUAUGGGAAUGAUGUCUUUCAAAUCCUGAUACCAGUUCUCCUGAUAAUGCUGCUGCUUGUGCCAUCUAUGAUAAUUAUUAGAAAACAGCUACGAGGGAAGAAAGCAGCUUCCAGUGAAACCUAUGGAAUAAAUCUGAGGCUGAGUGCACUCGAACAUGGCCACGGGCACGUUCCAAUGGAAAAUAUCUACAGCGUGUUACCCCGCAGGCUUCAGGGAGCUGACAGGAACAGCUUGGCUAUUCAGAGGAUAUUUCCAAGUUUCCAAAACCCUGUAAUAGUUACAUCAUCUUGGCAGGAAGGCAACAUGCCUGUGGGUUAGAGCACUGGAUUGGGAUGCAGGAUACUUUUGUUCUAUUCCCAGCUCUGUCACUGGUCUACUGGGUGACCUUGGGCAAGUCACCUCCUCUAUCAGUACCUCAGUUGCCCCAGCUGUAAAAUAGGGCUAAUGAAUGCCUCGUUUGUAAAGUGCUUUGAGCUCUACUGUAUAAACGUUAUGAUGCUGCUGAUUAUGUGUUUCCAACCACCAAGGCACACUACUGCCAGGAAUCUUUACUGAGAGCCAAGAGUUGCUUCAGAUGAACUCAUUAGACUGUGUUCCCGCUACAAUACAAAGUUGUUCUGGCUCUCUUAGACCACUUUAAAAAACAACAACUAGAGAAUAAGCUCAGGCUCCAUCAACCCUAAAGGCAGGAUUUUCAGAAGCACCCAGGUCACUUAGGUACACCGGUUCCACUGGAUGUCAGUGGGAUUGUGUGAGGAAGAUUUUUCAAAGCCACACACAGCAGUAAGAUGUUGUGCUCCCUAACAAUGCCUUUUAAAAUAGUGUCAGUGGCCAUCUCUGCCUGUGGUACUAAGGCCUGUGCUACAUUUAUACUUUUUAUGACAUAACUACAUUGACGAGAGGUGUGAUUUUUUUUUUUUUUGCCAAAAUAGUUUUAUCUCAUAACCCUGCUCAGGGGCAGUGGAAACUGGCAGGGAUCCAUUCCUGCGUAAACUCACACUCAGAGUGGGGCACAGAGAUUAGAGCAGGACCCAGAGGGGCUGGAGCAGCUGCUUUGGGACCCGGGAAGAAGCUGUGGAGCAGAGAGUAGGAUUUGGAGGGGGCUGGAGCAGCUGUCGUGGAGACUGGGACUGGGACUGGGACUGGGUUGGGACGAAGGGCAUGGGAUACAAAGGAGCUGGAGCAGGUACCUUGGCACCUUGGAUCAGUCCAGGGAGCAACCCCCGGGAUUCUCCUGCCCAUCCUGGAUCAUCUCCUCCCCUGCCCUGCUGAAUCUCACUACCUCUCCUCAUACCCCCUUCUGUCCAUGCAACCCCUUUUGUGGGCAGUUAUUUCAGUAUAAGGUAACUUUACCAGUAUAACCCUUUCCUGUUUAUAGGACUCUGCAGUGCAAAAGGCUGAGAAUCUAUUCCACUCCAUCUAGUCAUAACGGAGCUGUGUUCUCAUGUACCUUGUGACUCAUAUCACUGCAGAGUUGACUUAUAAGAGCUGCUGUGACUGCACAUUGGUCACCAGUCACAGCUGAGGAAGGACUUGAGGCACACGCAAAGCCGUAACCAAUCAGCACCUGAACCCUACAUAUCAAAGCAUUACUUUGAUGCUGAGACCACACUGCUCUGCAGAAGCUGGUCUACAUGCUUUCUCUGCACAAAGGUCUAAUGCUAAGUUUACAAAGGUACAGUGGAUUUGCUGUGGUUGUUUAAAGGUGAUUUUUUCUAGUUUGCUCUGCAGUUCUUGGGCUUGUUCUGCAGAGCUUGGUCUGUACAGAUGGUUGCCAAAACACGCAGGUUCAGGUAAACAAUUAUAAGCAGAGGUAAACUUUUCCCCUCAAUAUUUAUUGACUAUGGAUGAUGAUUUCUGUUAUGCAGAGGGCCAGUGCAGGACCUACACACCACUUAAAUCCUCAAAUUAGGUUAAGAGACUGGAGUGUUGUCCUGGUUUUGUGCUUUUUGCACACAAAUGGAUUUCACCCUAUGAGCUCAUUGGCAUUUUGAUAUAGCGUUAAAGCUCAUCUUCAUUGUCAGCUUGAACUAGGUGAAUAUAGUUGGCAAUCCAGUGCCCAGAAAAAGAAGAAGGAGAAUUGUUUUGCAAAAAUUUCUCAUGUUUCAUCAAAUGCAUUUUUUGUGCUAAAUUUCUGAUCAGCUGUGAAACUGGCUGGAAAACAGAGGGUUUGGGUUUUUUUCCCCUUUCCAAAUACUUUAUACACAUUUUUCAUUCAAAUAAAUAAAAAUGUUUUGGAGAAAUUUUUGGGCGAGUGCUUAUUGUUAUUGAGACUAUGGGCCUGAUCCCAAUUUAACACUGAUGUAAAUCCAUAGAUAUUAGUGAAGUUACAUUUAAUUCCAACGUGUUACCCUUUCUGCUUAACAAUCUGUCCCAAUUGAGAUUCAGUUCCAACACUCCGCUUCCUUCCCCAGGUCUAAAGAAGAACUUGAUGUAGCUUGUACCUUCUACCAGCAGAAAUUGGUCCAAUAGAAGAUAUUACCUUACUCAGGGUGUCUCACUUUUAAUUUAUAGCAGUAUAAGUGAAUUCAGAUUCAGACCCUAAACUACUAUCAGAGACCUAGAGAGGUCCCUCCGUGUAUACCCCUACUAGUGAGGUGGGGUGGGGGAGCUUAUACUGCUACAGUCCAGGGAGAAGGUAUCAUCCCAGACUACUUCACAGUGACCUUCAGCGUGGUUCUGGAUCCUGUUCUUUAGUCACCAUUCCCUUCCAUGACUUUGGAUUCCUGGCCAGGACUUACUAUGACCCCCAUGUGGGUACACUGGACAGAAUGGGCUGUGUUUGUCUGGGAGUGAAAGACAACCACAGGCCCAUCUGUGUAGCUUCAAGAAGGAAUCCUCUUUAUAUUGCUCAUGGCUAAAUCCUGUCUAUUCUGCAGACCGGAGGACAAUACAGA